rnacentral:misc_RNA from 1 species
GGUGUAAAGCUCUUACUCGAUACCCAACUAUCCGAUUCGUCGGCUUUCGACGAGUGCGAAUCGAAAAAACCUCCUCCUCCUCCUCUCUCUCUCCUCUCAAUCCCAUUACCCAUCAUAGGCUUCUUCCCGGCUCCCCAAUCAUCAAUCUCAUCAGCCCUAGAAGGCAACGAUUCCCUUCUGAAUUCUCUAUCAGAUCCAUCAUUGCUCCUCCUUGACUCAUCAAAAACCCUAGAACCCCGUCGGGAAUUCGGUGAAUCUUCCGCGUUAGAAUACCGAUUCCCCCUGUCGUACAAACUAUUCUGACCCCAACUCUUGAAGCCUCCACCAAGACGGUUGCGGUCCAUCUCCUCCGCCGUUCUCUGACGCGGACCCGUCGGAAGCAUCAUUAGAUCUUCAGCCGUCAGACCCUUUGGAUCACUGGAUUGAGAGGACGGCUUUGGACCGCCAUAGGUCUGAAACUCCGACAAGGGAAUGGACUGACCUUUCUUCUUCUUAGGUUUGGUGGCGGCCGCGGCGGCGAGAGAUGGAAAGUCGGCACUGGGCUCCGAUUCCUGGCGAGACUGGUCCUGCUGGUCCUUGAGAAGCUCCGCCUCGUGCUCCUCCGCAUCCAAAGCCCAAGCUCCGGGCUUGCCCCACGGUGAGACAGUUGCCGCCAUGCCUUCGAUGUGUGUUGUCGCCGGAGAUUCUCUCUUCUUUC